rnacentral:rRNA from 1 species
GACAGAGGGUGCAAACGUUGUUCGGAUUUACUGGGCGUAAAGCGCGUGUAGGCGGCCUUGCAAGUCGGAUGUGAAAUCCCCGGGCUCAACCUGGGAACUGCAUCCGAAACUGGCUUGCUAGAGUAUGGGAGAGGGAGGCGGAAUUUCUGGUGUAGCAGUGAAAUGCGUAGAUAUCAGAAGGAACAUCAGUGGCGAAGGCGGCCUCCUGGACCAAUACUGACGAUCAGGUGCGAAAGCGUGGGGAGCAAACAGG